AGUGUCCCUGAGCCCUGCCACUGGCUGGGAUAAACCAUGCAGACCUCAGACCUGCUUACAGUCUGACUGAGGCCAAGACUGCUUCCCAUGACACUGACUCAAGCUCUGGGGUAUUUUUAUUGUGCGGUCAGGGGACAAGUCAUCCUAGAGUUCUGUGUCCUUCACUUUGCCUCUCUGCAACAGGGCCUUAUCAUCUGUCAUUUGGGUCUCCUGCCUCAGGCUGUACCUCCCCUCAAGCAUAGACUGAUGUGCUGUCCUAAAACCUUCAGUCCCAGGCAUUGUCCAGAAAGUGCCAUCCACACACAUACCCACUCACACUUAAGUUCUGUGUUUGCUGUCGUAACAACUCUAUCUUGUGGAUAAAGAAACUGUAUCCAACUGGAUGCCACUUGGCUAGAACCUUCUGCCUCAUGGAAACAAGCCUGGCCCAUCCUCUCAAGGCCAGGUUGACCCACAUGAACACUGGGAAGGCCAGAGCUCCAGGCUUCCAGGAAAGAUCCCCAGAAGGCACAGCGGCUGGUAAGGCCCACUUGGGAGUGUGCUGGCAACUUCUGCUCUGGUCCCGUUGACCCAGUUCAGCGACAUCCUGGUGGUAGCAGUUCCAGCAGCAGGCCUCCAAGGCUCCAAGCAGUAUGUGGGCUCUCAGCCAAUGGGAGAGCUGGCUUCCUGCCCCUUGCUGUGCAUCCUUUCCAUCUGGAAGCUUAUUCUCCUGUUUCCUGUUUUGGUAUCUGGAACAGGCCUGCAUGGCUGUUUUAAGAAGUUACUUUUCCCACUUCGGUAUGGCUGGGACCUAGGCAGGAACCCAAAGGAGGCUGGUGGCUACUAGGACACCACCUUUAACCCUGGCCUGGGGGGGUGUAAGGAUGCCGAGGUGGGCAAACUUUGGACCCCAACUCUAUGGCUAACAAGGUUCGGGGCAUCUUUCACAAGCACUCAAGGUCUCCUUGAGCUGGAGAUAAACACACAAAUUAAAACUUGUGAUGAACCAUGAUGUAACAGAAAGCUUAUUUCAGAUGGAUGUUCCUUUUCUUUCCCCUCUGCUGUAUCAACUCACAGAAGCUGCUAAGGCAGAAUUUAAAGAAAAUUGUUUUCAAGCCACCAGAGACCUGUUUGUACAACUCAAACGGUUGUAUUUAUUUAAUGUACCUCAAGGUGUUUUAAUAAUGAUCAGUG
rnacentral:lncRNA from 1 species